rnacentral:rRNA from 1 species
AGUGAGCGCUGGCGGUAGGCCUAACACAUGCAAGUCGAACGGCAGCACAGGGGAGCUUGCUCUCUGGGUGGCGAGUGGCGGACGGGUGAGGAAUACAUCGGAAUCUACUCUGUCGUGGGGGAUAACGUAGGGAAACUUACGCUAAUACCGCAUACGACCUACGGGUGAACGCAGGGGACCUUCGGACCUUGCGCGAUUGAAUGAGCCGAUGUCGGAUUAGCCAGUUGGCGGGGUAAAGGCCCACCAAGGCGACGAUCCGUAGCUGGUCUGAGAGGAUGAUCAGCCACACUGGAACAGAGACACGGUCCAGACUCCUACGGGAGGCAGCAGUGGGGAAUAUUGGACAAUGGGCGCAAGCCUGAUCCAGCCAUACCGCGUGGGUGAAGAAGGCCUUCGGGUUGUAAAGCCCUUUUGUUGGGAAAGAAAUCCAGCUGGCUAAUACCCGGUUGGGAUGACGGUACCCAAAGAAUAAGCACCGGCUAACUUCGUGCCAGCAGCCGCCGUAA